GAUGAACGCUGGCGGCGUGCCUAAUACAUGCAAGUCGAGCGAACGGACGAGAAGCUUGCUUCUCUGAUGUUAGCGGCGGACGGGUGAGUAACACGUGGAUAACCUACCUAUAAGACUGGGAUAACUUCGGGAAACCGGAGCUAAUACCGGAUGAUAUUUUGAACCGCAUGGUUCAAAAGUGAAAGACGGUCUUGCUGUCACUUAUAGAUGGAUCCGCGCUGCAUUAGCUAGUUGGUAAGGUAACGGCUUACCAAGGCAACGAUGCAUAGCCGACCUGAGAGGGUGAUCGGCCACACUGGAACUGAGACACGGUCCAGACUCCUACGGGAGGCAGCAGUAGGGAAUCUUCCGCAAUGGGCGAAAGCCUGACGGAGCAACGCCGCGUGAGUGAUGAAGGUCUUCGGAUCGUAAAACUCUGUUAUUAGGGAAGAACAUAGGUGUAAGUAACUGUGCACAUCUUGACGGUACCUAAUCAGAAAGCCACGGCUAACUACGUG
rnacentral:rRNA from 1 species